rnacentral:rRNA from 1 species
UACGGAGGGGGCUAGCGUUGUUCGGAAUUACUGGGCGUAAAGCGCGCGUAGGCGGACCUGCAAGUCGGGGGUGAAAGCCCGAGGCUCAACCUGGGAAGUGCAUUCGAAACUACGAGGCUUGAGUCCUGGAGAGGAAGGCGGAAUUCUCGGUGUAGAGGUGAAAUUCGUAGAUAUCGAGAGGAACACCGGUGGCGAAGGCGGCCUUCUGGACAGUGACUGACGCUGAGACGCGAAAGCGUGGGGAGCAAACAGG